rnacentral:rRNA from 1 species
AAGGGCACCACAAGAACGCGUGGAGCAUGUGGCUUAAUUUGACUCAACCCGGGAAAUCUUACCAGGUCCAGACAUAUUGAGGAUUGACAGGCGAUAGUAUAUAAUUCAUUUAUAUGCAUAAAAAUGAUAGUCCUUUCAUGAUUAUAUGAUAGGUGGUGCAUGGCCGUUCUUAGUUCGUGGAGUGAUUUGUCUGCUUAAUUGCGUUUCAGUAAAUAAAAUAUGUAAUAUAUUAUAAUAUUUAGUUCUGCCUUGAAUAUUAUUCAAGGAUUUAAAGUGAACAUAUUAUAUAUAUUAUUAUAUAAUAAAUGAAUGCAACGAACGUGACCGUAACCUUUUAUUGCUACUAUACAUUGUAGCAUAAAAUUAAAGGAACCGCUGUCAUUACUAAUAUGUGUUAAAAUAGAGUAAGAUUAUGGCAAUAACAGGUCUGUGAUGCCCUCAGAUGUUCUGGGCUGCACACGUGCUACAAUAAUUACAUUAAUAAGUAUAUAUAAUAUAAUAUAUAUUUAUAUUAAUAUAUAUUAUAAAGACCUAUUUCGAAAGUAAAUCGGUAAUCAUUUAAAAAUCGUGAUUAAUAUAUUAAUAUAUUUAAUUUAAGGUGGGGAUAGUGUAUUGUUAAUUAUUACACUUGGCCUUAACUAGGAAUGCCUUGUACUCUUCUUUGGUUUAACAUACCAAGAGGAAUACGUCCCUGCCCUUUGUACACACCGCCCGUCGCUCUUACCGAUGAAUUAUAUUAUAAAUCUAAGGGAUUAUAAUAUAUAUAAUAUACAAACUUAUAUACAUAAUGUGAUUUAAAGGAAAGAGAAGUCGUAACAAGGCAUCAGUAGGUGAACCU